UAGGGAAUCUUCCGCAAUGGACGCAAGUCUGACGGAGCAACGCCGCGUGAGUGAAGAAGGAUUUCGGUUCGUAAAACUCUGUUGUUAGAGAAGAACAGCGCAUAGAGUAACUGUUAUGCGUGUGACGGUAUCUAACCAGAAAGCCACGGCUAACUACGUGCCAGCAGCCGCGGUAAUACGUAGGUGGCAAGCGUUGUCCGGAUUUAUUGGGCGUAAAGCGAGCGCAGGCGGUCAAUUAAGUCUGAUGUGAAAGCCCCCGGCUCAACCGGGGAGGGUCAUUGGAAACUGGUUGAAUUGAGUGCAGAAGAGGAGAGUGGAAUUCCAUGUGUAGCGGUGAAAUGCGUGGAUAUAUGGAGGAACACCAGUGGCGAAGGCGACUCUCUGGUCUGUAACUGACGCUGAGGUUCGAAAGCGUGGGUAGCAAACAGG
rnacentral:rRNA from 1 species